rnacentral:lncRNA from 1 species
AAAAGGACCUAGGGACUAAUUGACAAAUACACAAAAAUACACCUAAAACCUAGACCUAUAUUAUAGGUAAUGAAAAAAAUAACAAAUAUUUUAGGUAAUGCCUACAAUGAGCUAAGUGGAGAGGAAAUUACGCCUAAAGACCUGGGGAAAAAGGUUGUAGCGCCGCAAUACACGAAGGCCCUUCCCCCAAAAACUGCUUCUUCUCCGUUCAAAGAAGACAGAACAGCGGUGACAUCAAAAAAGAUCCCCACCUGAAUUACAUUUGAUCUCUAAGAAGAAUACACAAAAAUAGACCCUAGACAUCUACGAAUCAGCAACGCCGCUGACAUCCCAACAGGACCACAAACGACCCUCUAUAUUCUCGUCUUCUUCAUCCCUUCCCCACCGUCGAGCUUUGUCUUCAACCAGACAUACCACCCUCACCCUUUAUCCGUUUUCCAACUCUUUCAUUCCCUCACAGCAGCCAUUUCCAGCAGCAUGCCCAAACAUAGCUCGCCAGAAAAUAUGUAGCCUCAGCGACCACCUAGAUCCGGCUGAACUCCAGUCAUCUUCCUCACCAUAAAACCAGCUGAAGACCCCUUGAACCCCCUUUGUCCAUUUUCGAGUUCGUCGCCGAUCAAGAUUGUUCGACGUCGAUUCCGAUUCGAGCCUGCUGCUGCUCGAGGUUAGAGUCUGGGUUUUUGCUCAAGGUCGUCGAGGUCCGGACUGUUGAGCUCGUCAAUCACAGCUUUGGCUUUGAGUUUUCUUUUCCUACCCGUUGUUUCAAAAACACAUUGCAGCUAUAAAGGUCUAUUCUGAUAUCUUUAUUAUUUCUCAUUUGAUGAUAUUUUUACCAUGAUUAUCGUGAUAUUUUCUAGUUGUAACUUGACCGAAAUUUAUAGUUCAUCAUAGUUUUUUGUUGGUUUUAAUCAUCUGGUUUUGCAUUCUCGCUGAAAUAUUAGACCAUGGCUCCUAUGCUGGAAUGGAAUGAAACUUUAGUUUUUUGUUAAAAAAGGCACAGGGUACUGCCAAUUGUUUAAGUGGGUGGUGGCCAAUGAUAUUUAAAUUGGAAUUAGAUUUUUACCAUGGAUGGUGCUAAUCAAAGUUCAAAGAUUGUUCUCAUGUUUAAGAUCACGCAUGUUGUCGUACCAUUUUUAGUGUAGUUGAUAGCUUCUUUUAAAUGCUUUUACAUGUUGAAUGAUUGAUAUUGGUUGAUCGUUAUGUAUCUUAAAUGGUUGUUUGGCCAUGGGAGAUCCGAUAUUGAAACAUAAUAAUAAGGAGUCAUGGGUUGUUGAAUAUUAAUUAAAAGUAAAACUCUGUUCAACAUGUUUUAUUUAGUUCUACUUUGUUUUAUCACUUUAAUCGCUAGGAGUAUGUAUGGCCCUCGUUUAAUUAAUCUUGUUUAUCCAUAGAAUUUGAGGCGUGCCAUUUAGUUGAAUCUCCAUGGCCCUGCGUUGGUUUCUUUGGGCAUGUAUUUUAAUAAUAUUACCUUCCUAAACUCGGGUGUGCAUUUCAUGUGACCCAAAUCAAAUCUUAAACCGUUGAAUAAAAUAUAUUUAGGAUUGCGGGUGCAUUUCAUGUGGCACGAUCCAAAGAUGUGUUUUAAACGACGUUUAAUCUUCUUUAAAAAUUAAAUAAAAGCGGUUUGAAAGUUAAAAUUGCACCAUAGGUUAAAACAUGUAUUAAAAUCAGAUAAUUAAGCUGAAUAUAACAGUUGAGCGUCCGUGCUAGAACCACAUAACUCGAGAAUGCCUAACACCUUCUCCCAGGUUAAUAGAAUUCCUUACUCGGAUUUCUGGUUCGCGGACUGUAAUACAGAGUCAAUCUUUCCUCGAUUCGGGAUUUUAAACCGGUGACUUGGGAUACCAUAAAUUAUCCCAAGUGGCGACUCUAAAUUUUUAAUAAAAUAAUCCCGUUUCGAUUGUCACUUUAAGUUGGAAAAACUCCCUUAUACCCCCUUCCGGGGGUGUAGGUAAAAAGGAGGUGUGACAAUCCCAAAUGAAUCUGAUGACUUCUUUUUCUCGGACCCUCUCGAAUGCUUGAGCUUAACCCAUUUAGAGAAAUAGUCAAUCAUAAAUAGUAUGAAUUGAGCCUUACUAGGUGCCUAUGGUAGGGACCGACGAUCUCCAUUCCUCGUUUCAUGAAUGGCCAGGGUGACAGAACCGAGUGUAGUAACUCCCCAGGUUGGUAGAUCAUGAGUGCAUGCCUCUGACAGCCAUCACAUUUGCGCACGAACGCCCUCGCAUCUUUCUCUUUGUCGAUCCAAUGAUAGGCAGCUCUGAUUAUCUUACGAACCAACAAUUCUGCUCCCGAAUAGUUUCCGCAGGUGCCUUCGUGAACUUCCCUCAAAACAUAUUCAGUGUCUCCUGGUCCCAAGCAUAUGGCGAGUGGGCCAUCGAACGUUCUCCUAAAUAGAAAGUUAUCUUCAGGCAGGCUAAACCUGGCCGCCUUUGUGCACAACGCUCUCGAUUCUUUGGUAUCCGGGGGAAAUUUCCCAAUCUUCAGGUAGUCUAUAUACUUGUUUCUCUAGUCCCAAGUUAGACUUGUCACAUUUAUCUUGGUGUGGCCUUCCUCCACUAAUGAUUUCAUGAGUUCUAUGACCGUCCUUGAACUGAAUUCAUUGUCAUCAACCAAUGACCCCAAGUUAGCCAGAGAGUCGGCUUCGCUAUUUUGAUCCCGAGGCACGUGUUGUAGUGUCCAUUCUUUGAAUCGACAUAGUUUUACCUGUAGCUUGUCCAAGUAUCUUCGCAUCCGUUCCUCUUUUACUUCGAAUGUCCCAUUGACUUAAUUUACCACAAGGAGGGAAUCACAUUUAGCUUCGAUCACUUCAGCCCCCAAACUUUUAGCCAAUUCGAGACCUGCAAUCAUGGCCUCAUACUCAGCCUCAUUGUUAGUCAAUUUCACAAUUCUAAUAGAUAGUCUAAUUACAUUACCCGUGGGUGGCUUUAACAUGAUGCCAAGUCCAGACCCUUUCGCGUUCGAGGCACCGUCCAUAAAGAGGGUUCAGAUCCCUGAUGGAGUCCCCGAGUUCAGCAACAAUUCCCUCUCAACGUCAGGUAUUAGGGCCGGCGUGAAGUCGACCACGAAGUCUGCUAAAAUUUGGGAUUUGAUGGUUGCUCGGGGUCGAUAUUUGAUAUCGUACCCGCUGAUUACCACGGCCCACUUGGCCAAUCGUUUUGAGAGCUCAGGUUUGUGCAAUAUGUUUCUCAAUGGGUAAGUAGUUACAACAUAUGGGAUGGCAUUGAAAAUAUGGCUUUAACUUCCUAGAGGCGCUUAGCAAAGCGAGUGCCAAUUUCUCCAGGUGAGGAUACCUUGUUUCGGCCUCGCCUAGAGUCGUACUAACAUAAUACAUAGAAAAUUACGUACCUUCCUCUUCUCGGACUAGGACUCUACUUACUGCUAUCUCGGAUACCGCUAAGUACAGUUACAAUUGCUCAUCUGUUUUCAGGGUAUGAAGUAAGGGUGUACUCAAAAGGUACCAUUUAAGUUCUUCCAAAGCUUUCUAGCACUCCACGGUCUAUGAAAAGUUAUUCUUCUUCUUCUUCUUCUUCUUUAGCAAUGAUAAGAACCGAUGGCUUUUAUUGGAAGACCUUGAUAUGAACUGACCCAGGGCUGCUAUUCGCCCGGUUAACCUCUGAACGGCCUUGACAUUGUGCACUAUGGUGAUGUCUUCUAUAGAUUUUAAUUUGUCAGGAUUAAUCUUGAUUCCUCGGUUGGACACCAUGAAUCCGAGGAACUUCCCGAACCCAACACCAAAUGCGCACUUCUCCAAAUUUAACUUCAUGUUAUACUUCUUCAGUAUGCUGAAGGUUUCACGCAAAUGUUCCAAAUGGUCCUCUGCUCGUAGGGACUUAACUAACAUGUCGUCAAUUUAAAUCUGCAUUGAUUUUCCUAUUAGUUCUUCGAACAUCCGGUUUACUAGGCAUUGGUAAGUGGCACCAACAUUCUUUAAUCCGAACGGCAUUACGUUAUAACAAUAGGUGCCAAAUUUAGUGAUGAAAGAAGUUUUUUCCUAAUCGUCUGAGUCCAUCCAGAUUUGAUUGAACCCAGAACAGGCAUCAAGAAAGAUGAGUAUCGCGUGGUCGACCGUCACAUCGAUCAUGCGGUCAGUUGGGAAGAUGAAAAGAGUCCUUGGGGUAUGCCUUGUUCAGUCUUUGUAGUCUACACAAAUUCUUAAUUUAUUUCCCUUUUUAGGGACUACUACUACAUUUGCUGACCAAUCUGGGUACUUAACUUCUCGAAUGAAACCUAUUUUAAGGAGCUUGAAUACCUUGUCUUUAAUGAAUGCAUGCUUGACCUAGGACUGGGGCCUCCUCUUCUGUUUGACCGAGUCGAACUUUGGGUCCAAGCUUAGCUUAUAAGUAGUUAUUUCUGGCAGGAUCCCUGUCAUAUCAAGAUGGGACCAAGCAAAAUAAUCUAUGUUAGCUAUAAGGAAUUUGAUGAGUUUCUUCCUGAGCUCGGGAGUUAGUCCCGUGCCCAGGUAUACCUUCCAGUCGAGCAGGUGUUCGAUCAAUAUGACUUGUUUCAGCUACUCGACCGUCGACUUGGUGGCAUCGGAAUCGUUAGGGGCUAUGAACGACCUAGGGAUUCCGUAAUCAUCGUCCUCUCCCAUCUCUUGCCUCUCUAGUUUGGUCGGGGCGAGCGUCGGUGAUUGCUAUUUGGUUUCUUCCUUGGUACACAAACUCGACCACGAACAUUUCUUUUGCGGAUAUUGAGGUCACCUCAUCGAGCGGGAACAUUUCUUUUGAGGCUGGCUGCUCUCCAUAAACUAUUUUGAUCCUUCCCGGUGUGUGGAAUUUCAAUGCCUGAUGUAGUGUCGAGGGUACUGCCCUCGUGUUGUGAAUUUAUGGUCUUUCAAACAGAGCAUUGUAUCUCAUAUCUCCUUCGAUCACGUAGAAUAUUGUUUCUUGAACGGUUUCGGUGGUGUUUACUAUCAGGGUUAUCUCCCCUUUAGUAAUCCCGCAUGCCAUGUUAAAUCUGUUUAGAACUUGGACUGCGGGCACUAAUUGGUCUUGUACACCCAAUUGGCUCGAUCUAAUGAUAUUGGCCAAGCUACCUGGAUCAAUUAACACACGCUUAACUCGAGAUUUAUUUAUGAGUAUAGAUAUACUAGUGUAUCAUUGUGUGGCUGUACGAUGCCUUUAGCAUCCUCGUCGUUGAAAGAUACAAUUCCCUCCGAUACGUAAUCUCGAGUUCGUUUAUCCGUUGUAAUGGACACCUUAGUGCGCUUUAACAUUGGUCCUUGGGGGAUGUCAACUUCGCCAAUGAUCAUGUUAAUUACGUGCUGAGGUUCUUCCUGCUCGAUCUAUUUAUUGGAUUCCCUAUUCCUGAUGUGCGUUUUUGCCCCAUAACUCAGAAAUUCUCGAAUGUGUCCGUUAUUAAAUAACCGGGCUACUUCUUCUCUUAGUUGUUUGCAGUCUUCGGAUCUGUGGUCGUGAGUGCCAUGAUACUUUCACAUCAGGUUAGGGUCCUUUUGGACAGGAUCAGACUGCAAUGGUUGAGGCUACUUAGUAUCUUUGAUGUGUCCGAUGGAUGAUACGAUGCCGGCAACAUCAAUGUUAAAGUUGUACUCCGAUAACCUUUGUGCCUCUUUAGACCCGGUGGGUCUGUAGAAACCGAUUUUGCUCAUGAGUCCCCGAUUAUUAUGGCCUCGAUCGCUCCCUCUUUCGCUCCUCCAAAGGUCGCAUGCAGACCCAUUUCCCCUUCGAUCUCCGUUAUAUGGUUGAUACCAAUCCUUUUUCGAUCUUGGUUCAUGAUCGACCGUUCUUUUGGAUCUAUCACUACUUCUGAGGGGAUAAAAAGAUCCGGAAGGGGCCCCGAGCUGAUCGUCUUGGACCCUAAUUUUCAAUUGGUACCUGUUAUGGAUGUCGGCCCAAGUUACCAUCGGAUAUUCUAUCAAAAGUUUCAAUUGUUGCGAAGCCAAUGAGCUUUGGGGGUUGAGUCCUUGGGUGAAUUCCUGAACGGACCAAUCGUCCGUGACCGGAGGCAGAUCCAUCUAUUACAUUUGAAACCUUGACAUGAAUUUUCUGAGCAUCUCGUUAUCUCUUUGCUUUACUUUGAAAAUGUCUGACUUCCUGGUCUCGACCUUGAUGGCUCUGGUGUGUUCUUUUGCAAAGGCAUCCGCAAGAAUAGCAAACGAGUUAAUAGAAUUAGGGAGUAAAUUGUGAUACCAUAUCAUGGCUCCCUUUGACAAGUUCUCUUUGAACGUUUUCAACAGAACGGAUUCUAUUUCGUCAUCUUCCAAGUCGUUUCCCUUGAUGGUGCAUGUGUAGGAGGUCACAUGCUCAUUUGGAUCAAUUGUUCCAUUAUACUUUGGAAUUUCGGGCAUGCAAAACUUCUUCGGGAUCGGCUUCGGAGCUGUGCUAGGAGGGAAAGGUUUUUGAACAAAUUUCUUGGAAUCCAGGUCCUUUAGUAUCAGUGGAGCUCCUGGGAUUUAAUCAACACUGGUAGGCAAGUUUGCAUCAAUAGCUACAUGUGAGUUAGCAUCGAUCGGGUCCGCGACCGAAACUCCGUUGGGGUCAAUAUGGGGCACCUCAUUACUAGGUACCACAUUGUUGUUCUCACCAUGGUCGCCAGACUCAGCAUCGACGUUCAAAUUGGCAGAUUGGAAGUUUGACAUUUUUUAUAUGACCUGAAAUUAAAAGCUCAAAGAACAAGUGUAAAAUAGAGUGUGUUAUGAAAAUUUAUAUCAAAUUGCUGCUAUUAUCCUCAGCCCCACGGUGGGCGCCAAAUUAUUUACCCUCAAAAGCGGAUAACAAUUAUAUUUAUAAGUAGUUUUAAAGAUACGCGGAUUAAUUCAAUGGAAAUGAUAAAUGACGUUAGACUAAACAGUUAAGGACAUAAUAAAUUACAAAAUCAAUUCAGGGGAGUGACCCCAGACUUAGUAACAGCUGAAUGAAAUGCUUGCCUCCGAUCCUGGGCUCACACUAAUGAAGAGCUGAUGAAUAAAAGUAAGAACUCUGAAUAACAUAGAAAAUAAGAGUAUAUUGCCUUGAUAUGCGUGUUACAAUGUGUCCUCAUGAAUAGGGCUGGGCAUAUAUCGGGGAUAACCGAUAGCCCGAACCGAAAAAAGCUUAUUGGGGUAACGAUAUCAGGUUAUUGGGUUAACGUUUUAAACUUUUUUUCACUAUUGGGUUAUCGAUUCGGGCCUCAGUUUGCCCAAUUUCUUAACGGGUUAACCGAUAACCCAAUAAAAAUUAGUACUAUUUCAGUUGUGUUUGGACAACUGUUGGAUUACUAGUACUCUUAUUGCUCUUGCUACAAUUAGACUCUGAAAAAAGACAUUGAUCUCUUGAUUAUGGUUUGGCAGGAAACCAAAAAAUUAUUAUUUAUGUUCCUGUUAACUGCUAUUUCCAGCGAAUUGGAGAUGGAAUGCUUGUGGAGUUGUAGUAUCAAUAUUUGAGAUUGCACAGGUCUUGAAUUUGUCAAAAUGAAGCAUGCUUCAAAUAUUAGUUGUGGCCAUAACGCAAAAAUGGGUAGUAUGCUAUAUGUGAAUUCUUCCCUUUUUUGCUUAACUCUAGUGCAUUGUCUUUUUUUUUUGCUUAACUCUAGAUUGAGUUAUCUUAUCGGGUAAACCAAUAACCGAACCGAUAAUGUUCAAUAACCUAUUAACCGAUAACCGAUAUCUUAUCAGUUCUGUUAUCGGUUUAUCAUAUUUGUAAACCAAUAACCGAUAUGCUAAACCGAUAAUAUUCACAACCGAACUGAACCGACCGAUGCACACUCCUACUCAUUGUGAGCACGUAAUUUUUGCCCUAUGUGAAUUACUCCCACAAAUUCAAGAAAUUGUUUUUUCCAUUAUUGGCAAUUUCGUAGAUUUUUGUAAAAUUUUGUUAAUUGUUUGCAUUUGCUUGUGCAUGUUUAAUUUAAUUUUAAUUCAUGAAAAAUACAAAAAUACAUUGAAUUUUCAUUUAGGACUUAAUUUUACAUUUCAAAUUAAUUGGUAAAUUAAUUUGUUUGUCAAAAAAUAGGAAAAUCACAAAAGAAACUCAUUUUGGCAUUUUUAAUUUUAGCUUCGAAUUUUGUAAUUUUCUUUUUAUUUGGUAAUUAAUUAAUUGUUGUAAAUAUUAUUUUGAGUAAUUAAUCUAAUUUGGUAGGAUAAUUUGGUUUAGGAAUUAAUUUAGGUUUUAUUUUUAAUUUGAAAAGAAAAAGAAUUUUGAAAUUGAAAGAAAAAGAAAAAGGAAAUGAGAAGUUCGGAUUUUUGGGCCAUUUUAAUUAAAAUUCCUCCAGGCCCAAAUAAUUUUCACCCUUAACCCGUCCAAUUCCAGGCCCAAUUCUAUCCCCAACCCGGUCAGCCCUUUUAGUACCCAAACGACGUAGUUUUGAGUUCCCACUUAGAUUCAAUCUGAGCCCUUCAUAUCCUUUCAUCCAACGGUCGUGGGAGGCCCCUCACAAAUACAUAAAAGUGUCCAAAUUCCCCAAAGACAACGUCAGUUCCCAAACACCCCUUUUCACUUCAUCUCCCUCAUCUCAAAAGCCCUAAGCCGCCGCCCUUGAAUUCUCCACUCGCCGGCCGGCGGCGCCGGCUCAUACCAGCCUCAAACUCACACCCCAAAAUCCUCACAACCUCCCUUUUCCCAAUCCCUAACUAAUAUCUCUCGAAUCGUCACAAAACAGAGCCGAUUUCAAAUCUAAAAAAAGACAGAAAAACAAAAGAAAAAAUCUCUUGAUUUCUUCAAGUUUGAAUGACCGGUUAGGGUCUAAAUUGUUGUUUCUCCCUUGUUUUUAACAAGAACCCGCGACGAAUACCAAUUUCGGCUCGAAAUCGGGAUAGUAGAGGUCCGUUCAAAGCAAUGACAGAGGUUCAUCCACUUCUUGUUUAGGUAUUUCAAGUCUUUUUACGUUUUCUUUUUCGUUUAGUUCCAGUCUUCAUCUCUUCUUACUUCAUCUCUUCUUUUCUCUAUUAUUUUUUUCCGUUUUGAAUCAGUUUUUGCUCGCAUGUUUAAAAUUAAAAUUUAUUAGUUCAUGUUUGUUUUAAUUUCUUUGUUCUUUUGUUUUAUUUCAUUUUUUCUUGUUUUCUAAAGAAAGGAACUCUGAUUUUUUUGGGGCAAUUCCGUUUAGCCCAUUGGUUUACUGAGUUUGAUUUUGAAUUGGGCUCUGUUAAUCAGAGGCCCAAAGGAAAGGGGAUUAGCCGAGUUUGGUAAACCAAUAUCUGGUAGGUCAUGGGUCAAUUUGACUCAUUUGUUUCCAAGGGUAAAUAACAGAGGUUUAAGGUUAAUUUAGGAAUUUUAAGUUAAGGAAUCUUGUAUAACUGACUCGGGAAACUUCUAGGAAGGUGGGUUUGGGGUUAUUUUUGAAAAGCUGAUUUUUGAAUUAGGGAUUGAAUAGCAAAAAUGAAAAUUGAAAAAGGAUUAAAGAGCAAAAACUGAACUCAUUUCUGCUGCCCUAAAAAUUCUCUAUAAAAUGCUAUUUCUUCACUCCCAUGUCAGAGUUUUAGAGACUGAAAAAGCAUUGAAACUUUAAAAACGACUGAGUUUUUCUUUCAAGUUCAAGUACUGGAAAUUGCUUGAAUUUUGCUUGGUUUUUGAGUUUUAAUUCCCUUUGAUAAGUCAGAAGUUCAAAAGUUUAAUAUAAUAGCUCAUCUGGGUUUUAAAAGUCUGGAUUUAGGUCGAGAAUUUGAAGCUUGUUUUGUCGAUUCUAUACUGUUACAUUGCUGCUAUUUUGCUGCUGCUGCUUCCUCCUAAUCUUAGGUUUUAUUUUUGGUUUAUUUUGCUGUAUUCAGGUAUAUGUUUCUGAAUCCUGCCUAAUGUGAGGCUCGAUUUGAAGUAUGGAGUUGAAAUCUUGAGUUUUAAGCAUAGCCUCAACUUACUUGUUCAUAGUUUAGCUUUACUUUUCUGAAUUACAUUGUACUAAUUUAUCUGAUGCAUUGUAUUUUGUCUUGUUGCUGCUAGUACUCUCUUAAGAGCUGUAUUUGAUCUGUACUUAGCAUGGAAUUCAAUUUUCAAUCAAGUAUCUUUUAGCUAGAUGUUGGUUUUGACAACUGAACUCGUACCAUUGUAUCUGAUCUUAGACUAUUAUGAUAGAAGCGUGAUGAACAACCUACUUAGUCGAAUCAGUAGCUAUUCUGCAAUCAACCAUGUUAAAUAGUGUAAUGUGGGCUGCAUUUGAAC